GGCCUGGGACUUUCUACUCCCAGCUCUGGGGGACAGGCAGCACUGCCACACUGUCCCCUCAAUGCCCUGUCACCUGUCCUGCCUGGUGACCCAUGGGGGGACCACAGGGGCUCCUCCUGUCACCCCACAAUCUGUGACUCUGGUCAUCAGGACCAAGGUGAGAUGAUGUUCUUAAUUUACCAUGUGUGAAUUCGUCAUAUCUUCAGAGAAAGAUCUGCUGUGGAGAGUCAAUGUGCAGUAUAGCAUAGGUCCUCAUAUAAAUAUUACGCUACAAUAGGAAUUGGUACUCAUUUGAGUGCUUGAUGUGGAAAACCUGCCUGUGCCAUCUUUGAAUAGUGUGUCGAUGUCUUUGCUACUUCUGGGAAUGAUGGUGAAGAAGAGACCACCAAAUCUACAACUUUAGUACAGAAAAUAAUGACACAAAUGACAGAUGAUUCAUCUUGUCUUGGUUGGCUGAGAUUCUUGUGCUGGAAAGAACUCAGCUCUUCCUGGAGAAUAUACUAAGAUAAGGCUGUUUAUAGCUUUGCCUCUUCUGUGAAUCACCUUAUAUCUGCAAGUUUCUUUUCUGGGUUCCAAAAAUACAGUGAGAUAUUGACAAAUUGGAUGGCUGACAGAUUGAACAAAUUCAUGAGAGGGAAUUCAGAAUUGAAAAAGAAGCCUUGAGGGAAAUAGUUUGUGAACAUAAGUAAAAUUAUACUUUGUCCUAAUGCUGACUAAGAUAAAACAUGAAACACAAAUUUGUAAAAUCCCGCUAAGGGCAUGGGAUGCACCAAAAGAAACAAACAGCAUAAGGGCACUUUCAGCCCUUCCAUAAAGAAGAGACACAGACAGUCCAACUUCCCAGAAAGGCAAAGAAAGCCUGGAAGUGCCCUUUUCUUCCCCCAGCACUGCAUGCACUCAGAAGCCAUAACUUUGGGAAUUAUGACUCCUUCCAGUCACUGUUCUUCUCAUAUAUUGUGGGUCUUAAAUAUGCUUCUUUGGACCUGUAGAAAUAAGGCUGAGGUGGCUC